UACGGAGGGUGCAAGCGUUAUCCGGAUUCACUGGGCUUAAAGGGUGCGUAGGUGGGCAGGUAAGUCCGUGGUGAAAUCUCUGAGCUUAACUCAGAAACUGCCGUGGAUACUAUUUGUCUUGAAUGUUGUGGAGGUGAGCGGAAUAUGUCAUGUAGCGGUGAAAUGCUUAGAUAUGACAUAGAACACCAAUUGCGAAGGCAGCUCACUACACAAUUAUUGACGCUGAGGCACGAAAGCGUGGGGAUCAAACAGG
rnacentral:rRNA from 1 species